rnacentral:rRNA from 1 species
CGUCGGCUUUGAAUCCCCGAGGGUCAACUUCGGGUUCUGCAGUCGUUACGAGCAAAUUAGAGUGUUGCAGGGGAGACUGGAAUUACUGGUGUAGCGGUGAAAUGCGCAGAUAUCAGGAGGAACACCGGUGGCGAAGGCGGGUCUCUGGGCAGCAACUGACGCUGAGGAGCGAAAGCGUGGGGAGCGAACAGGAUUAGAUACCCUGGUAGUCCACGCCGUAAACGUAGGCGCUAGGUGUGGGGCUCAUUCCACGAGUUCCGUGCCGCAGCUAACGCAUUAAGCGCCCCGCCUGGGGAGUACGGCCGCAAGGCUAAAACUCAAAGGAAUUGACGGGGGCCCGCACAAGCGGCGGAGCAUGUUGCUUAAUUCGGUGCAACGCGAAGAACCUUACCUAGGCUUGACAUGCACGGAAAUCUCCCAGAGAUGGGGGGUCCGUAAGGGCCGUGCACAGGUGGUGCAUGGUUGUCGUCAGCUCGUGUCGUGAGAUGUUGGGUUAAGUCCCGCAACGAGCGCAACCCUCGUCCUAUGUUGCCAGCGGAUCAUGCCGGGGACUCAUAGGAGACUGCCGGGGUCAACUCGGAGGAAGGUGGGGAUGACGUCAAAUCAUCAUGCCCCUUAUGUCUAGGGCUGCAAACAUGCUACAAUGGCCGGUACAAAGGGCUGCGAUACCGCGAGGUGGAGCGAAUCCCAAAAAGCCGGUCUCAGUUCGGAUUGGGGUCUGCAACUCGACCCCAUGAAGUCGGAGUCGCUAGUAAUCGCAGAUCAGCAACGCCGCGGUGAAUACGUUCCCGGG